UAGCUAGUAGGUGGGGUAACGGCUCACCUAGGCGACGAUCCCUAGCUGGUCUGAGAGGAUGACCAGCCACACUGGAACUGAGACACGGUCCAGACUCCUACGGGAGGCAGCAGUGGGGAAUAUUGCACAAUGGGCGCAAGCCUGAUGCAGCCAUGCCGCGUGUAUGAAGAAGGCCUUCGGGUUGUAAAGUACUUUCAGCGGGGAGGAAGGGAGUAAAGUUAAUACCUUUGCUCAUUGACGUUACCCGCAGAAGAAGCACCGGCUAACUCCGUGCCAGCAGCCGCGGUAAUACGGAGGGUGCAAGCGUUAAUCGGAAUUACUGGGCGUAAAGCGCACGCAGGCGGUUUGUUAAGUCAGAUGUGAAAUCCCCGGGCUCAACCUGGGAACUGCAUCUGAUACUGGCAAGCUUGAGUCUCGUAGAGGGGGGUAGAAUUCCAGGUGUAGCG
rnacentral:rRNA from 1 species